rnacentral:rRNA from 1 species
CACGGUAAUCUAGGGGGUUUCGCCCCUUAGUCCGGAAACAGAGCAAUUAACCAUUCCCCCUGGGGAUACAGGUUGCCCGGUUGAAAAUGAACAUAAUCGAGGGGACCCGGGGCAUUCGAUGCGGCAUUGAAGAAAUUCGAGGGAACCCGUUUAGCCCAACAAAUCCGGUCAAGCCUUUGUCACACACAUAUACAGAUAUUUCCUUCCCUUCAGGGACCGAGUGGCAUGACGUUCUAUUUUUGUAGAGUUUGCUCCUGGCUCAGGUGGUGUUUUUUGUCGCAAAAGACGAGACACCUCACUCCUAUAUCCCUCAUAUUCAGUGAGCUUUUACAUGCGUCAUAGGGUAAUUAAUCCGGAGGAGAGUGGGGAGAGAGUCAAAUCAUCAUGAAUGAACAUGCAUCUGGUAUACACACGUGUUACAUCAGACAGAACAAAGGGAUGCGUGACCGCAAGGUUUAGCCAAUCCCAUAAAUCUGUUCUCAGUUCGGAUCGCAGUCUGCAACUCGAUUGUGUGAAGCUGGAAUCGAUAGUAAUCGCGGAUCAGCAUAGCGAGGUGAAGACGUUCCCGGGCGUUGGACACACCGCCCGUCACACCACGAGAGUUUGCAACACCCGAAGUCGGUGAGGUAACCUUGAGGGAGCCACACCCCGAUAGCGUGGCAGAUGGCUCAGGCAGGACCGGGGCCGGUCCCGCUGGACGA